rnacentral:rRNA from 1 species
UACGUAGGGGGCAAGCGUUGUCCGGAAUCAUUGGGCGUAAAGAGCGUGUAGGCGGCCUGGUAAGUCCGCUGUGAAAGUCCAGGGCUCAACCCUGGAAUGCCGGUGGAAACUGUCAGGCUCGAGUCCGGAAGAGGCGAGUGGAAUUCCUGGUGUAGCGGUGAAAUGCGCAGAUAUCAGGAGGAACACCGGUGGCGAAGGCGGGAUCUCUGGGCCGAAGUGACUGACGCUGGAGGAGCGAAAGCGUGGGGAGCGAACAGGA